ACCAAACACGCCUCCACGCGCCUCUCGGCUCCCGCCCUCCGCCGCCGCCGCUCGCCACCUUCGGCGUGGAACUUCGCCUGUCCCCUCCGGCGUGGAACUCCGGCCCUCUCCACUGCCGCGUUCCUCUGCCUCUCCCGCCGGUGCCUGGGACAAGGCAAACUGGAUGAGCAAAAAAUCAAUGGUCGACCAAAGGAGGUAAAGAAUCAAGAUCAACAAAAAGCACCAAUAAUGAAAAUUGGCAUGUCUUCCAUUUACCUUACGGCACGUUGGAGGGCUCCAGAUUCGGACGCGUGCUACAUCUGUGGACAGGACGGUCACUAUGAGCAGUUUUGCCAAUACAAUUAUAUCUAUGGGCAAUAUGGGUUAUAUGGCCAACACACUUGUAGAGCAAACUGCCAUCCUGGACAACACACAAUGGCCAUGGCUUGUCGGAACUCUUUGCAGAGUCUCAUACGUGUGAAUAACAUGCCAUCGCGCUUCUGUACGUGGGACCUUCGGAAGCUUUUGGAACCAUUCGGACCAUUGCUGAUGUGCCACGUUCCAAUGGGCAGUUCUGAAGUGCGCAGGGGAUAUGGGGUUGUGAUCUUCAAGGAUCUUGGGAAUGGGAUGUUAGAGUUGUGUCGAAUAAUGUGUACAAGGUAGGUUAUAGUUGGAUUAUGAGUUGUAUUGUGUUUACAUAGGAUGUGGAGUUGUGUCCUAAUAGGACACUUGUAUCCUAGGCCUCUCAUAUAUAGUGGGGUAGACACACGAUGUAACCUAUGCCAACAUAAUAGCACAGGCGCGCAAGGGGGAGCCGGCGGCGUGUGCCGGCGCCCGGGUGGCCGGUGUGCGGUAUUGUGACGGUGUCAGGGGAGGAACGCCCGUAGUCAGUCCCGGGGAUGUAGCCAUAUCGGUGAACCUCGUUAACAAAUCUCGGUGUCGUGCUCGUGUGAUUGCUAGGUCCUUGAAUGAUCAACGGUAUGCCUCAGAUUUAUUCUAACAAGUGAUAUCAUGAGCUAGGUUGUCCGGAGGCUGCGGAUUGUUGAUUUAGAGGAACGAUGGAAUCUGAUAUG